rnacentral:rRNA from 1 species
GAUGAACGCUGGCGGCGUGCCUAAUACAUGCAAGUCGAGCGAACGGACGAGAAGCUUGCUUCUCUGAUGUUAGCGGCGGACGGGUGAGUAACACGUGGAUAACCUACCUAUAAGACUGGGAUAACUUCGGGAAACCGGAGCUAAUACCGGAUAAUAUUUUGAACCGCAUGGUUCAAAAGUGAAAGACGGUCUUGCUGUCACUUAUAGAUGGAUCCGCGCUGCAUUAGCUAGUUGGUAAGGUAACGGCUUACCAAGGCAACGAUGCAUAGCCGACCUGAGAGGGUGAUCGGCCACACUGGAACUGGGACACGGUCCAGACUCCUACGGGAGGCAGCAGUAGGGAAUCUUCCGCAAUGGGCGAAAGCCUGACGGAGCAACGCCGCGUGAGUGAUGAAGGUCUUCGGAUCGUAAAACUCUGUUAUUAGGGAAGAACAUAUGUGUAAGUAACUGUGCACAUCUUGACGGUACCUAAUCAGAAAGCCACGGCUAACUACGUGCCAGCAGCCGCGGUAAUACGUAGGUGGCAAGCGUUAUCCGGAAUUAUUGGGCGUAAAGCGCGCGUAGGCGGUUUUUUAAGUCUGAUGUGAAAGCCCACGGCUCAACCGUGGAGGGUCAUUGGAAACUGGAAAACUUGAGUGCAGAAGAGGAAAGUGGAAUUCCAUGUGUAGCGGUGAAAUGCGCAGAGAUAUGGAGGAACACCAGUGGCGAAGGCGACUUUCUGGUCUGUAACUGACGCUGAUGUGCGAAAGCGUGGGGAUCAAACAGGAUUAGAUACCCUGGUAGUCCACGCCGUAAACGAUGAGUGCUAAGUGUUAGGGGGUUUCCGCCCCUUAGUGCUGCAGCUAACGCAUUAAGCACUCCGCCUGGGGAGUACGACCGCAAGGUUGAAACUCAAAGGAAUUGACGGGGACCCGCACAAGCGGUGGAGCAUGUGGUUUAAUUCGAAGCAACGCGAAGAACCUUACCAAAUCUUGACAUCCUUUGACAACUCUAGAGAUAGAGCUUUCCCCUUCGGGGGACAAAGUGACAGGUGGUGCAUGGUUGUCGUCAGCUCGUGUCGUGAGAUGUUGGGUUAAGUCCCGCAACGAGCGCAACCCUUAAGCUUAGUUGCCAUCAUUAAGUUGGGCACUCUAAGUUGACUGCCGGUGACAAACCGGAGGAAGGUGGGGAUGACGUCAAAUCAUCAUGCCCCUUAUGAUUUGGGCUACACACGUGCUACAAUGGACAAUACAAAGGGCAGCGAAACCGCGAGGUCAAGCAAAUCCCAUAAAGUUGUUCUCAGUUCGGAUUGUAGUCUGCAACUCGACUACAUGAAGCUGGAAUCGCUAGUAAUCGUAGAUCAGCAUGCUACGGUGAAUACGUUCCCGGGUCU